rnacentral:rRNA from 1 species
CAGCAGCCGCGGUAAUACGUAGGUGGCAAGCGUUGUCCGGGAUUAUUGGGCGUAAAGGGCUCGCAGGCGGUUUCUUAAGUCUGAUGUGAAAGCCCCCGGCUCAACCGGGGAGGGUCAUUGGAAACUGGGAAACUUGAGUGCAGAAGAGGAGAGUGGAAUUCCACGUGUAGCGGUGAAAUGCGUAGAGAUGUGGAGGAACACCAGUGGCGAAGGCGACUCUCUGGUCUGUAACUGACGCUGAGGAGCGAAAGCGUGGGGAGCGAACAGGAUUAGAUACCCGGGUAGUCCCUGUCUCUUAUAC